GUGCUCGCAUCACCAGCACAUCUACUAAAACUGGAACCAUCCAGAAAAGGUCAGCGUGGCCCCUGUACAAGGAUGACACACAAAUUUGUGAAGCCUUCCAUAUUUUU